rnacentral:rRNA from 1 species
GACGGUACCUGCAGAAAAAGCACCGGCUAACUACGUGCCAGCAGCCGCGGUAAUACGUAGGGUGCAAGCGUUGUCCGGAAUUAUUGGGCGUAAAGAGCUCGUAGGCGGUUUGUCGCGUCUGCUGUGAAAUCCCGAGGCUCAACCUCGGGCUUGCAGUGGGUACGGGCAGACUAGAGUGCGGUAGGGGAGAUUGGAAUUCCUGGUGUAGCGGUGGAAUGCGCAGAUAUCAGGAGGAACACCGAUGGCGAAGGCAGAUCUCUGGGCCGUAACUGACGCUGAGGAGCGAAAGCAUGGGGAGCGAACAGGAUUAGAUACCCUGGUAGUCCAUGCCGUAAACGUUGGGCGCUAGAUGUAGGGACCUUUCCACGGUUUCUGUGUCGUAGCUAACGCAUUAAGCGCCCCGCCUGGGGAGUACGGCCGCAAGGCUAAAACUCAAAGGAAUUGACGGGGGCCCGCACAAGCGGCGGAGCAUGCGGAUUAAUUCGAUGCAACGCGAAGAACCUUACCAAGGCUUGACAUACACCGGAAACGGCCAGAGAUGGUCGCCCCCUUGUGGUCGGUGUACAGGUGGUGCAUGGUUGUCGUCAGCUCGUGUCGUGAGAUGUUGGGUUAAGUCCCGCAACGAGCGCAACCCUCGUUCUAUGUUGCCAGCGCGUUAUGGCGGGGACUCAUAGGAGACUGCCGGGGUCAACUCGGAGGAAGGUGGGGAUGACGUCAAAUCAUCAUGCCCCUUAUGUCUUGGGCUUCACGCAUGCUACAAUGGCCGGUACAAAGGGCUGCGAUACCGUAAGGUGGAGCGAAUCCCAAAAAGCCGGUCUCAGUUCGGAUUGAGGUCUGCAACUCGACCUCAUGAAGUCGGAGUCGCUAGUAAUCGCAGAUCAGCAACGCUGCGGUGAAUACGUUCCCGGGCCUUGUACACACCGCCCGUCAAGUCAUGAAAGUCGGUAACACCCGAAGCCGGU